UACGGAAAGCAGCAGUGGGGAAUAUUGCACAAUGGGCGCAAGCCUGAUGCAGCCAUGCCGCGUGUAUGAAAAAGGCCUUCGGGUUGUAAAGUACUUUCAGUCGUGAGGAAGGUGUUAAGGUUAAUAACCUUAGCAAUUGACGUUAGCGACAGAAGAAGCACCGGCUAACUCCGUGCCAGCAGCCGCGGUAAUACGGAGGGUGCGAGCGUUAAUCGGAAUUACUGGGCGUAAAGGGCACGCAGGCGGUUAAUUAAGUUGGAUGUGAAAUCCCCGGGCUUAACCUGGGAAUGGCAUUCAAGACUGGUUAGCUAGAGUCUUGUAGAGGGGGUAGAAUUCCAUGUGUAGCGGUGAAAUGCGUAGAGAUGUGGAGGAAUACCGGUGGCGAAGGCGGCCCCUGGGACAAAGACUGACGCUCAUGUGCGAAAGCGUGGGGAGCAAACAGGGAUUAGAUACC
rnacentral:rRNA from 1 species